GACAGAGGGUGCAAGCGUUGUCCGGAAUCACUGGGCGUAAAGGGCGCGUAGGCGGCUCAUGAAGGCUGUGGUGAAAGUCCGGGGCUCAACCUCGGAUCGGCCGUGGCGACUCGUGGGCUGGAGCACUGUAGAGGCGGGUGGAAUUCCGGGUGUAGCGGUGGAAUGCGUAGAGAUCCGGAAGAACACCAGUGGCGAAGGCGGCCCGCUGGGCAGUGGCUGACGCUGAGGCGCGACAGCGUGGGGGAGCAAACAGG
rnacentral:rRNA from 1 species